rnacentral:lncRNA from 12 species
GGAAGAAGCACUUAAGGAAGAGCCCAGUGAGCUCUCAUGAAGGAUACCAAAUAUAGAUGUUUCUGUUUGCAUAUGGUGAGUCUGGCUGAUGAGGGUGCCCGAACUUCAGGAAAGUAUUUCUGUUUCUCAGGAUAGCCCAGUCCAUAACACAGAAGCAUAUGGGCUGCAAGGCAGUAGGAGGAUUUGUGGGGGUGCUGAAGACAUGCCCCAAAAGAGUGUUGAUAAGUGGAAGGGUCUCCUGCGGUCUACCAUAAGGAUCUGUUUUUUGCCAGGCUCCAGUUUACUUAACAGGCAGAAAGCCUGCAGCUCAUCAUGAAGUGGAAGAGAGAGGGCUUUGAAAACCAACAUGUUUUAGGGGCACCUGGGUGGUUCAGUUGGUUAAGCGUCUACCUUCUGCUCAGGCCCAGGAUCCUGGGAUCGAGCCUCAAAUGGGGUCUCCUGUUCAGCCGGGGGUCUGCUUCUCUCUCUGCAUCAGCACCCCCUUACCUGUCCUGUUCAGGUUGUCUCUCGCUUUUUAUUUAUAAAUAAAUAAAAAAAUCUUUAAAAAGCA